rnacentral:rRNA from 1 species
UUAGCGAGCUCUCGAAGCCAGCAGCAAGAGCAAUAGUAGGGGAAGAGAGCGUGUCGUGUCCUCUGCCGCCGCCGAUGACCUGCACUGAGCCGUGGUAACCAGCAGUUGCCGCCGUCGGGACCACCAUGAGCUGCCGCCGCCGAUGAUGUAGGGUCGAUCCUCGUCGUGAAACUCUGCCCCUCGUCGCCGCCGGCCGUUCUCGUCGAGCACCUCUGCGGCACUCGUGGUCCCCCUCCGCUCCUCUGCGUUCUCCUCGUUCUCCCUCUCCACCACCGCCCCGUCGUCCCCGGAGGCCCCUCGUCGUCCCGCUGCUGUCGCCACCGCCGACACAGUCCUCACUCGUGCCCGAUCCCAAGUAGGGCUAACUCCCUCGUUUGACACACAAAAUCAGUUUGUCAAGGGGAAGGGCCAGGUUCCUCUCGUUGAAGCUCUUCCUCCGCCGCUCCCGCUCGUCCCUCGCCUUCUCUACCUCUUGCCGCCGUCGUUUCCGCUGCAGGGCCUCCUGCGGUUGCGGGUAACGGGACCUUGCGUCAGCCUCCUCCGCCCCUUCCGGCUAAGGACGCGGCCCACGGGAUUGGUCGUCUAAACGCGGUGGCGGGGGUUCCCGGGGCUAGGACUGAACCAACGAUAACGACUCGCCUACCGAUGACACUUUGUGUUCUAUGACCAAAACAGACCUUUCCCUCCACAACCUUUCUCGUGUAAAAGUCGGGUCGAGAGUAAACGGGAUCGACUUUACCUGGUAGUCCAACCGGAAGAACUGUAUCUAUAUACACCGGGAUCGUAGGGCUUUUACAAUCCGGAACUUCCGGUCCUAUAAGUAGUCUCGUUGGAACCCACCAGUGGUUAGAUACAACUCAGGUUGGAACCACAGUACAGCUAACCCAAAUACGACGGAUUGGGUCUACUACGACAGUAUACCUCCCCAGGAGCGUUCUUGCCUAACUAGUUUGUCAAAGAGUUCCUACAACUGACCCCACUCUAACUGAUGGAACAUCACCUACGUGGGGGACCUUGUAGUCUACUCGUGUAGAGUUAGCAGGUCAUGGAUGUUCGGUGGCUUCAACUACCGCGCUAUUAGCACUGCUGGGGAGUCGUUCAGAGAGAAUAACUGCACUCCUUCCUUUAGUUAAAGACGUUCUUCCACCCACACGGCCACGACCCGCAACACCUCUUGUACUCACCGGACUCCGUCCGUAAGUGUCUGGAGUUCAAGCAUUUCGGUCCAGGACGUCCCCUCUGUCUGCGGUGCCUCACCCGCUACUUGAUGUAGUUCCUCUUCCGAGGCCUCGAAAACAGCCAGCACCGGACGUCGCUCCACAAACUGUCGUCGUUCCCACCGCGUCUCUUCUACACGGUACUCUACCCCCAGGGAAAGGAGCCGUUCCACGGCUACCUGGGCGUCGACACGUUCCGUCGGCUCCUUCCCUCCAGCACGAAGCGGCUGGUCUCCACGUCGCGGUCACGCGGCCGAGACUUUUCGUAGUAGCUGUUCGACUAGUUUUGGUUCAUUCGUCUGUCACAAACACGGACAACCUCUUCAUGGUGAUCAGUUUUUACAUUACUACUAUAGACCCUACAGAGCAACAUGUUAACGAACAAUGUGCGGGCUCACCAAAACUGAGACAAGAAUCAAAGGAUUUCGAAAAACCGAACACAUAGGCCCAAAACAAAGUCUUUAUAACUCGCAACUACGCUAUCUCCGACUUUAAUGUCUGAAGCCCGAACGUCUAAAAUUAGUAAAACCGAAACC